GUAGGUGGCAAGCGUUGUCCGGAAUUAUUGGGCGUAAAGCGCGCGCAGGCGGAUCAGUCAGUCUGUCUUAAAAGUUCGGGGCUUAACCCCGUGAUGGGAUGGAAACUGCUGAUCUAGAGUAUCGGAGAGGAAAGUGGAAUUCCUAGUGUAGCGGUGAAAUGCGUAGAUAUUAGGAAGAACACCAGUGGCGAAGGCGACUUUCUGGACGAAAACUGACGCUGAGGCGCGAAAGCCAGGGGAGCGAACGGGAUUAGAUACCCCGGUAGUCCUGGCCGUAAACGAUGGGUACUAGGUGUAGGAGGUAUCGACCCCUUCUGUGCCGGAGUUAACGCAAUAAGUACCCCACCUGGGGAGU
rnacentral:rRNA from 1 species